rnacentral:ncRNA from 1 species
CAUCAAAAACCAAGUCUCUAAGCAAUGGAUGUCUUGGCUCCUCACACGAUGAAGAACGUGGCAUAAUGUGUUAAGUAACCGGAGUUGCAAACAUCAUGACAGGUUAAUCUUUGAAUGCAAAUUGCGCUAAACUCGAUCUCGGUCGAGAAGCAUGGGUGUGACAGUACUACAUCUUUUAUUAAUAAUUCUUAUUCUAAGCGAAUAAGUAAAUAAUAUAUAAGACAAACAACACGUAGUCUGCCAUACGCAGGAAGACCCGCUGAACUGAAGCAUCUCAUUAAGCGGAGGAAAAGAAACUAACUAGGAUUCCCUUAGUAAAGGCGAUCGAAAAGGGAACAGCCCAACGUCUUAAUCCCGCAAGGGAAAUGUAGUCGGUUCACCUAUUGCACUGGUCUAAGUCAGAUGGAAUGCUGCGCGAUUCAGAGUAAAAGCCUCGUAUGACCAACCGCAAGCUUACGAUGGACCGGGGAGAGUCGGAUACUUUGAGAGUAGUGUCUUAAGGGGGUGGUAUGUCCCAUCCAAGGCUAAAUAACGUGAGGAGACCGAUAGAUUACAAGUAGUGUGAACGAAAGAUGAAAAGAACUCUAAAACAGAGGGUGAAAAGUU